GCACCGACCGACCGAAGCCCCCCGUCCCCCAACAACCAAAAAAAGCCCGCACGAGACGAGAGACGAGACCCAGACGUCUCGCCCUCGGCUUCUUCCUCCCCUCCCUGACCGCUGCCGCGACCUCUCGGCGAAACCCUAACCUACCUUAGACCCCGCCGCCGCCGCCGCCCAAGGGAGAGAGAGACUUGCACAUCAAAGGGCGUCCGAUGGGGAAGAAGAAGAAGCGCGUCGAUAAGGUCUUCUGCUACUACUGCGACCGCGAGUUCGACGACGAGAAGAUCCUCGUCCAGCACCAGAAGGCCAAGCACUUCAAGUGCCACGUAUGCCACAAGAAGCUCUCCACCGCCUCUGGCAUGGCCAUACACGUCCUCCAGGUCCACAAGGAGUCCGUGACCAAGGUUCCUAAUGCAAAGCCUGAUAGGGAGUCAACGGAGAUAGAGAUAUUUGGAAUGCAGGGAAUUCCUGCGCAUGUAUUGGCUGCUCAUUAUGGAGAAGAGGAAGACCCUUCAACAAAGGUACCCAAAGUAGAAGUGCCUCAGGUAAGGCCUGUUAUUAUGCCUAAUUCGCUAGGCAUGGCAUUUCCUCCGCGACCAGCUUAUGGUGUGGCACCUCCAAUCUAUAAUCCUGCACUCAAUCCUUUGAUGGCCCGGCCUCCAAUUUGGCCUGCUGCACCAGCGCAAGCUUGGUAUCCGCAACAAGCAGCAUAUCCACAACAAUCAGCUGUUUCAGUUCCUCCCAUAGUCGCUGGCCUCCCACCACAACAGCCACUAUUCCCAAUUCAGAAUGUGCCUACUCCUAUGACAUCAGCAGCUGCUAAUGUACUUCAAACAUCGUUUCCUAUGGCCCCUCCAGGAGUACCUUCACCUGUUGCCCCUCAUGUUUCCCAGCCUUUGUUUCCUGUUAACACUUCAGCUGUCAAUGGAGCUGUAAAUUCCCCAUUUUUAGCAUCUGUUGCACCUGGAACCAUUCCAGCAAGCUCUCCAGCAGCAGUCGGUGUUGCAGGAAUUGGAUAUGGAACCAAUAACCAAGGCACUAGAGAUCCAGCAGUUGGAUCUUCACCUGCAGUAUCCAAUAAUAAGGCGUCUGGUGCCCAACCAGCUACGAAUGAGGUAUAUCUGGUGUGGGAUGAUGAAGCAAUGUCAAUGGAGGAAAGAAGGUUGUCGUUGCCAAAGUAUCAGGUGCAUGAUGAAACUAGCCAGGUAAGUUGUGUUUCUUAUGAUACUAUUAUUGUAGUUUCUCAAACAAAAGGUUUAUCGCUCAAUCUGCAGUUCAGCAAUGAGCAAUAGCGAUAUGUUAUUUUGACGCUUCCGAGUUCUACCCAAUUCUUGCCUAAAGUGUAUACAUGCUAGUUGUAUCUUCUUUGGUGUGCACUCAUAUAGGAAGUUCAUUGUAGGGGUAGUAGGGUGAUUUUUAAUGUUAGGCUGUUGCAGUAUUCAAAGGCAUUUCUGUUAUCCUGAAGAUGGGCUUUGAGCGGUGACCUUCAUUGUUUGUUUUAAGCCCAACUUGCUUGGGACAAAAGAUUUUGUGUUAAAGUGGUGGUGGUGGCUCACCUCAGUUGCAUUUACUGAUGUUGUGAACCAUGUAUUCUACAUUAUGUACUUGCACAUAAGGAGUGACUAGUCGGUUGCCCGUGCGUUGCGACAGCUUACAAUAAUACCCACGUAAACUAUCCAUAAAAAAUUCAAGAUUUUUAAUGAUUGUCUCCGCUCUCUGUAUAAUAUUUUUUUGAUUUGGCUAACUGAUGUUAUUGUUUACUCCAUGCAAUAUGUCUUGGUACAACACGACCAAUGAAGUGAGCGAUUAGAAAAUAGUUCACAACGACUGACUGAAUGAACAAAGAUUAUAAAAUGACAUAAUUCCAUCAUACAGAGACCAAAUAAGACAAAAUUUGUGAGCUCAAGUUUCUAAAAUAAGUCCCAUGAAGUCAAACUUAUAAAAAAGAUAGAUCAAAAUAUGGAGUGAUUGCUAAAGUCAGGCAUCAAUAAAAACCGGAUGCACUCCAUAUAAAUUAUGCUACUUCGUAGCAAUUACUAAUGUUUAAAACCAACAAAUAACAUUUCAUUUUGUUGUUAGUAUGACAAAUCAUUGUUACUCCAUCCAAUUCGGCAACCUCAAACACCAUUUAGUCCAUUGCGCCAAUGUGGUCUCAGAAACGAUCUAAUGUUUGCAAGAGCCAAGAACGUCGUGCCGUGCUUGGGCUGUAGCCUCAGCCCGUAGUGCUGGCCCGGCCCGACACGAUUAUUUUUUUAUUUUACAAAAAAACAUAUAUACCUAUAUACAAUUUAUAUUCAAUAUUAAAAACAUCUUAGCAUGAUGUUCUACUGGUUAGACAGCUUCACCCAGUGUCUUUCGUCCUUCUUCCAUCAGGACAUGGGUUCGAACCCCACGCGUGCGUCUAGCCUGUGCCGGUCGCCGUUUGGCCAUCUAUAUAGACGUGCAGCAGAUUAAUUUGAAAUAGCUGAGGGGUUAUUUUAAAAAGAUGACGCAUGAUGACCGUUGAAAUUGGUGCUUUAAGUAUAGUAUAGAAUUCUUGGAAGGUUUUGCUAUUCUACUUAUUUGUGAUACAUAAACUUGCCCAUUUUUUCUUGGUAUCUACUAUGAACUUAACUGAUGCAUUUGAUAAUAUAAUGAUUUCUUUUGAGCCUGUUCAUUAGAUGUAAAUUAACACAGUAUCCAUUUACAACCAAUUCUUUUGCAUUUUUACAAUUGACCUUUUCAUUUUCAUAUAAAAUAUUGGCAUAUUCACAAUAUACUGAAUUGUGAACUUGUCAAGGAUUCAAGGGCAUGCAAUUCUUGAACGUUUUAGUGGAAUAUGAAAGUCUCAUCUGGUCAUACAAUAUGUGAGUCUGAGAUGAUUCAUAUUUUAUGCCACUUUUUACAUUUUCAAAUGUCUCUGUUGUGUUGAUUGGUCACCUAUAUCCUGCUGAUUUUGCACACAUCAGGAGUUCCAAGUAGGUAUUUACACCAUUCUUCCUACUAGUAAGUUUUCUAUAAUCUGACAAAUUUCGUGGUGCCUAUGCUAAUGGCUUGAGGGUUAUCGACCAAGCCCUGGACAGCUGGCAAAUAUGUAUGUAUUUAAUUUCAAUUGAAGCAUUAAUUUUAUUCAUUGCCAAUUUACUGCAUGCAAAUAUGGGUUUGUAGCAAAACUAGGUGGCUGAGGUUCUGCCAAUACGGUAGCAUUUAUUGUAGCUUAAGUUUGGUCGAGAAUGUGACAAGAGUCUUGCUCCAGAUGAACUCUGUUGACGCAGCAAUUGAUCGAAGAAUAUCAGAAAGUCGGCUGGCAGGACGCAUGGCCCUAUGAAGAAUCUGGGCUUUGCUCGGUAGAUUAUCCCCCUUGCAUUUCACCGAAGGACUCUGCCUGCGCUUGUAUCUCGCUGUGCAGCAGUCGGCCCUCUUCAUUUAGUUAGCGAAUGGAGUUGCUGCAGUUAAGAGGAAUGUGUUGUUUCUGACUUGUUUGAGUGUCGAGCCUUUGUUCUUCUAUGUUUCCAGCAUCGACAAGAAAAUGAAUUAGCAGCACUUAGGAGUUAUUUUGGUCCAACUGUCGCCUCAUUGGGAAUAUAUUGAUGAACACCUCAAUUUCUGCCCGAUUGUAACCUGGUCAUGUGCUAUUGCCAAUUGAACCUAAUGCUGUGCAUUGGCUGGAAAGCAACUUAAAAAUGUUACGGAUUUUAAUA